CCCUUAGAUGUUCUGGGCCGCACGCGCGCUACACUGAUGCAUUCAACGAGUCUAAAACCUGCUCUGAUAGGGGUGGGUAAUCUUUUGAAUGUGCAUCGUGAUUGGGAUAGAUGAUUGCAAUUUUUCAUCUUCAACGAGGAAUGCCUAGUAAACGCAAGUCAUCAGCUUGCAUUGAUUACGUCCCUGCCCUUUGUACACACCGCCCGUCGCUCCUACCGAUUGAAUGAUCCGAUGAAUAUCAUGGAUUGAGGAUGCAAGCAGGUUCGCCUGUCUUCAUCUUCGAGAAGUGAAGUAAAUCUUAUCAUUUAGAGGAAGGAGAAGUUGUAACA
rnacentral:rRNA from 1 species